rnacentral:lncRNA from 1 species
CUGCGUUGGAGGGUGUAGUUGACCCUCUCUGACCACUUGCAGGGCCCUGCCUGGGAUGAGGGACAGUGAGCAGAUGGAUCCACCUCUGUCUCCAAGCGACCGAUGUCACGUCCAUCACUCACCAGAACCGUUCAGCCUCCUGGAAAUGGGCAGGGGCCAGUACCCACUGGAGUCCAGCAGUGACAGCCACGAAGCCCAUGUCCCAGCCUGAAGGCCCGGUGGCUUCUCGUCACACCUCGGGUCGCAGGGCAGCACCACAGCAGGUAGCUUAAAGAGCGGGAGCCCCUGUCCCCGUCGGGGGGGCUGCAGUCCAGGGUCCCAUGUCACAGCAGGCUCCUCCUGAGCCUGUGUCCUCACGUGGUCCUCUGUCUAUACUGAUGGCCUCUUCUGACAAGGACACAAUCACGUGUCCUUGUACCUCAUUCCACCUUGAUCACCCCUUAGGAAACCCACCUCCCGAUGCGGGAAUCUGAGGGUUAGGGCUUCAACAUAUGCAUCUGGGGGGAGGAGGGUCCAUUCAGCCCCUAGUGGCCACUCAACACACAUUCAGGGGCUGCAGAGGAGCGUCGCCCUGUCUCCCCAGUAGGGGACCCACCUGGACUGCCUCCUCGGGGGCCCAGGGUGCCUGCAGGGGGCCCAGGGGUCAUGCCUAUCUCCAGGGGAGUCAGGAUCCUGUCCCGCCAGCAGCUCCCCCCCCUCCCCCCGAGCCCCAGCACAGCCCCAAGAAGGAGACUGUGGAGAGGAAACUGGUGUCCAGGGGGACGGGGUGCCCAAGGGAUCUGACAGGCGGCAGCGUAUUCAGUAAGCCCUGAGGGUCCUCCCAGUGUGGGGCCUUCUGGGCUGGAGGGACGAGUCUUUGCACCCCCAGGUGCCUGCCCAGACCCUCCCCUGGCCUCUUGGAGCACUUCCUCUCCCUUUGGGCAUCAGACCCAGCCCCCUGGGCCAUUGUGGACCUGCCAAUCACCGUAGGCCAUGCCAGCCGGGAAGGAUGUGAUGGACACACAGGAUGGUCUGGGGCCUUGAGCCUGCUCCCCCAUGGAGUCCUCAGGGGCUCUCACGGCUGCCCCUCUCCAGCAAAUGCCUCCAAUUAUUUUUUUCCCUGUCUGGAGUUGGCCAGGGUCAGUUUGUGUUACCGUCCACCAGAACGUUGGCCGACACUCUCUGAUGACCAUGCUGGAAUUUUGGGGUGGGGGUCCAGAGGCACUGGUGAUGUAUCACAGGUUGACUGGGCUGUGAAGUGUGGGCAGUGGAGCCCUCCGGGGCAGUUAGUGCUCUGGGCAGCACAUUGAUGGCCUUCCUCUCCCCGGCUGUGUAGUCUGCCUCCCAGGAGAAAGGCCAGGAAGCGGCCCAGACACCCACUUCCCUCCCAUCUUCCAGAAAGGGCACGGUGGGCAUCAGGGGCACCUCCUGGAUGGGAUAUGGACGGACACACCCACAUCUGUGCCAUCGAUGGAGGAAGGACCCCCGCCUGUCACACCAACAGCGUCAGACGCAGAGCUACCAAAUAGUGAGAUGUGCCACCUUGGCCAGGUGACCUCCAGGCCACUGUCCCAGCCUCAGUUCCUGGGACCUGGAUCUGGACCAUGGGGCAGAGCAGGGUGGGGACUGGUAAGCUGUGGUUUGUUACCUGAGAGGGUCUGAUGAGCCUAGGCAGGCCGUAAAAGGUGAGCGGGAAAGUCAGGUCAACGGAAAUGACCACCCACAGGACAAGAGAGGGCGGGGGGGGGGCAUCGGGGUCUGCCAUUCUGACUUCAAAGUCCAAGAAAUACUUCACGGAGGUGUGCAGCGCAGUGGACCCAGCUGAAGAGGCGAAGAGAGGGGGAAGUCAGUGCGCCCAACUUGGAGCUGGCCGGUCCCCCUUCCAGAAAGAUGUGCGCUAGCCACUUGAAAGCCGGGACUGAGGACGCCUGACCUGUGGGGUGAGUGCGUGUGAGCGCUUGUGCGUGAGCCCUGUGUCGGGUAAUCGUGCUGCGGGCCGUUGGGGAGCAGGGUUUUCAAAUGACAACAGAUAUAAGCCAAGGAGUCAAAGAAAAGCUGGGGAUCUCGCAGUCGAGCCGGAAAUAACCGGCAUGGGUCCCAGAGGCCUUCUGUCUUCACAAAGUGUGCGUCUCCUGCGCCGCACUCUUGGGAGGUCUCUAGGGCCUCAGAGCCACGGAGCGGUGGGCAGGAGCAGAUUCAGUGGGACUGAGCUCCAGGCUGGGGGUGGAGGUGGUGAAGGCUGCCCGGCAGGGACUGUGCCCAGGGCCCCUGGACUUGCUAGGUGCCCUCAAGAUGGGGAAUUUUACAUGAUUUUUCCCACAGUGAAAAAAAAAAAAGGUGGGUAUUCCUGGAUCCCAGCUCCUGGAAAGUUCUAGAAACAGUGGCCAGACCAGGAGUGAUGCGGGAAGCAGGGUCCGUGGGGAAGUGACCGGCUCAGGCUACGGAGGGUGUGUAUGGGCAGGCCUGGAACCGCAGCCUCUCUGAGAGCAAAACUCCAGAGACCUGGGGGCCUUCAGAAGCACACGCCGGGUGACUCCAAAGCCUGCCCCUGGCCACAGACCGGCCACUUGUCCCCAGAGGAUGUGAGCCCAGUGGCAUGCGGUGCAUUGUGGCAGACGCACCCCAUGUGACCUCUGUGAGGGGUGACCCAUGUGACACAGCUGAGUGUGGCCCUCCCAAGUGCCCGCAUUCACGUGCCUGGCUUUUAGGCAAGACUCUAGGGCAAAAGCAAAGCAGUUCUGCAGACGUGAUCGAGGACCCUGGUGGUCACAUUGGACGUUUUCCUGUGGGCCUGACCCAAUGGGAAGCCUCCCGAGGACAGUCCAGGCUUCUCUGACCUUAGAGGUGGACAAGCGGAGGCCCUCCCUGUCCUGCUGACUUUGAAGAAGGGGCUGCCAAGACUCCCUGAGCUGCAUGGAGAUGGGUCCCACUGGCCCCCUGCAGGGCCGAGAGCAGCUGAGCUGCUGACCCUCCCUCCCUGGGCCUGGAUCUCGGCCUCACGAGGCCCUGCCAGCCACACACCGGCAAGGCCAUGAGCAGUGGGCUGUUUCAGACCUUUAGGUGGUGGCAAUUCACAUUUGUGGUGUGGAUUUUAUAUAUCUCUCAUAGGAGAGUGUACCUUUUGUUUUCCCCCCGGUGCUGGGGAUGGAACUCAGGGCUCCACACUGGCCAGGCAAGCACCCUCCCACUGAGCCACAUCCCCAGCCUCAAAAGUGUGUCUUGGUCGAAUUCUUGCAAAUCACCGAUGAAGAAAUGCUGGGUUUGGAGGCCUGCUCUUUGCAACCCCUAGAGGGAUCAUGGCUCUGGUGCGCAGCUGGGGCUUUGCCCGCACUCUGGGAGAAAUCGCAGUGUCUGGAAACAAGCUUGAUUGUCACCGCGGGAUGCUGCUGGCUCCCAGGGGGUAGGGACCAGGAAUGCACAGGACCCACACCACCAUCACGUAGCUGGCAGACAGUCCCCGAGGGACCUUAGUGACCCUGCUUGCUGUUGUCCAUGCUUUUAUCCCGUCCCCUCCCCUCGAGAGCGGGUGCACCUGUGACUUGCUCCUGACUAAUGGAAUAUUGCUUUGGGGGCAGUUGUCACACCCAGGACAAUGUCACAGUAUUUAUGGUGCCACAGUCACUCUCUCCUGCCAUCCUGGAGAAGCAAGCCGCCUGGCCUGGACUGCCCAGGAAAGCCAGCCCCGCAUGCCCCAGGGCUGUAGUCAUGGGAGCACCUGGGUCCCACAUCCACCAGGAGCUGAGCUCCGUCCAACUCACAGCACAGUGAGCCCAGAAGCUCCUGCGCUCCAUCCUCAGAUGAGAACCAGUCCUGGUGGCCGGGGCCGGGACCCUGAAGAGAAGGCCCAGCCCAGGGCCCGAGUGCUGCCCUGCGGGAACCGAGACAGCAGCGUGUGAGCAUUGCUUGAAGCCCGCCACUGGAGGCCCGCAGCGCAGGGCUGGCAAGCCCUGGCCGAGACUCGUCCUUCCUGUGAGGGAAAGGAAGGGUGGUGAGCGUCCUUGGUCUUGCAGGCCUUCUGGUCUGUCACAACGGCCCAGCUCUGCAGUUACUUUGUAACAAAAUCACCAGCUUUGCAGCCACGUCCUGGCCCAGGAAACGGGCUCUGAUGAGCCCCUGGAGCAGGGCAACAUGGAGUCAGACACAGGAAGGAGGCCAAAGUGGAUGGACUGACGGGUGAGUGGGUAGAGGGAUGCAUGGGUGGGAAGGUGAGUGGAUGGGUGGUGGAUACAUGGACAGGUGUAGAAAUGGGUCAAUGAAUGGGUUGGAGGAUGGACACACGGGAUGGAAGUAUGGGUGGGUGGACUUCAGACAGAUACCACAUGACUGG